rnacentral:rRNA from 1 species
CAGCCGCCGCGGGAAUACGUAGGGUGCGAGCGUUAAUCGGAAUUACUGGGCGUAAAGCGUGCGCAGGCGGUUCGUUAAGACAGAUGUGAAAUCCCCGGGCUUAACCUGGGAACUGCAUUUGUGACUGGCGAGCUAGAGUAUGGCAGAGGGGGGUAGAAUUCCACGUGUAGCAGUGAAAUGCGUGGAGAUGUGGAGGAAUACCGAUGGCGAAGGCAGCCCCCUGGGCCAAUACUGACGCUCAUGCACGAAAGCGUGGGGAGCAAACAGGAUUAGAUACCCCGGUAGUCCCUGUCUCUUAUAC